rnacentral:lncRNA from 1 species
CUUACAUUUAUCUCUUUACUAGAGACCACUAAAAACAACCUUUGGGUAAAGGGGAUAUCCUCAUGGACUCAAGGAUCAAUGAUCUCAAUCAUCUGUAAAGUUGGCGUCUUCUACAUGGAACACUGUGUGGAAUUAAAAUAUUUACUAAAAUGCCUACCGGGCUUAAUUCUCUGCCUGAACCCAGUUGAGAAAGGCUGCUAGAGAGAACAUUGAAGACCAAGGGCUUUGCUACUGUUUAGUCCAAAGUACUUAAAAAUCCAGAUCACCCACAAAAAAAUUAGGUAAGCAAAUGUUUUAUUGAUAAUAUGAGUAUUUUAUGAAAUUCAGUAUGAAAACCUUUUUAGUUGUACCUUUGGGGUGAAAGAAUGGGACAUGGUAGAUGAAAUGUGGAAACAGUAGUCACAUUUUAUAAUCGCAUCCAGUAUUUUAUUUUUAGUUGGUGAUUUCAUUAAGCCAGCCUUCCACCCAUCCUGGAGACUUGGUGUUUAUGGAUAAAUCAUUUUCCCGUCAACAAAGUGAAGUCUCAAAAAGUGACUUUUCUGUCAAGUGAGGAGAGCAACAAUUAUUAUGAACUAACCCCCCUGUAGGCAUAUUAUAC